rnacentral:lncRNA from 1 species
CACUCCAUCCUGCACCAAAGGAAAGUGGAAAGCCCUGGGAGGGGGUCAGAAUUUUCUAGCUUCUCAGUGCUGAGCGAGAUAAGGCACAGUACUGAAGACAACAUCGAAUAGGACUGAGCACCAUGCUCUGGAGAUGCCGUGGACACCAGAAGGCAGAAGAACAGGGGCGGGCACAGGAAAUCCUGCCUGGAAGAGGUCAAGAAGCAUUAGAAAAAUCUGGUACCUGAAAGGAUAUUUAUCAUCAGGAAUAUUGGAAAAGACAGAAAAAGCCACCUCUACUUCAUGUGUCUUAAAACUGUGUGCUACCAAGAUGUACUCUUGGAAGAAGGAGAGACAGAAAAAAAUCCAUGGCUUACCAUUUAAGAGAGCUGUCUGCUCUUCCUGAAGGACUCAAGUUCCAUUCCCAGCACCAUAUAGUAUCUCACAACCAUCUAUAACUCCAGUUCUAAGGGACCCAAUGCCCUUUUCUGGCCUCUGCAGGUACCAGACAUGCACAUGUCGCACAAUAUGCAGACACACACAUAAUAAAGUUAAAAUAAAAAU